UACAGGGGGUGCAAACGUUGCUCGGAAUCAUUGGGCGUAAAGCGCACGUAGGCGGUUACUUAAGUCGGAUGUGAAAGCCCUUGGCUCAACCGAGGAAGUGCAUCCGAAACUGAGUAGCUAGAGUACGAAAGAGGGUCGCGGAAUUCCCGGUGUAGAGGUGAAAUUCGUAGAUAUCGGGAGGAACACCGGUGGCGAAGGCGGCGACCUGGUUCGAGACUGACGCUGAGGUGCGAAAGCGUGGGGAGCAAACAGG
rnacentral:rRNA from 1 species